ncrna:unclassified sequences L4-Archaeoglobi ribosomal protein leader
CUGACAACCGCGUCCGGGUCAAUUGCGGCUUGCAACACCCAAUCUCGCUCCCCGUUGGACCAGAAAUGGCCAUAAAGGAGGGAGAGCGCGUAACAGUCAG